GACGAACGCUGGCGGCGUGCUUAACACAUGCAAGUCGAACGCUGAAGCUCAGCUUUUGUUGGGUGGAUGAGUGGCGAACGGGUGAGUAACACGUGAGUAACCUGCCUCCUUCUUUGGGAUAACGCCCGGAAACGGGUGCUAAUACUGGAUAUUCACUGGUCUUCGCAUGGGGGUUGGUGGAAAGGGUUUUUCUGGUGGGGGAUGGGCUCGCGGCCUAUCAGCUUGUUGGUGGGGUGAUGGCCUACCAAGGCUUUGACGGGUAGCCGGCCUGAGAGGUUGACCGGUCACAUUGGGACUGAGAUACGGCCCAGACUCCUACGGGAGGCAGCAGUGGGGAAUAUUGCACAAUGGGCGCAAGCCUGAUGCAGCGACGCCGCGUGAGGGAUGGAGGCCUUCGGGUUGUGAACCUCUUUCGCUCAUGGUCAAGCCGCAACAAUGGUUGUGGUGAGGGUAGUGGGUAAAGAAGCGCCGGCUAACUACGUG
rnacentral:rRNA from 1 species